rnacentral:rRNA from 1 species
UACGGAGGGGGCUAGCGUUGUUCGGAAUUACUGGGCGUAAAGCGUGCGCAGGCGGUUGGGCAAGACAGAUGGGAAAUCCCCGGGCUUAACCUGGGAAUUGCAUUUGUGACUGCACGGCUAGAGUGUGUCAGAGGGGGGUAGAAUUCCACGUGUAGCAGUGAAAUGCGUAGAUAUGUGGAGGAAUACCGAUGGCGAAGGCAGCCCCCUGGGAUAACACUGACGCUCAUGCACGAAAGCGUGGGGAGCAAACAGG